UCAGAACGAACGCUGGCGGCAGGCUUAACACAUGCAAGUCGAACGAACUCUUCGGAGUUAGUGGCAGACGGGUGAGUAACGCGUGGGAACCUACCUUUAGGUACGGAARAACAGUUGGAAACGACUGCUAAUACCGUAUGUGCCCUAUGGGGGAAAGAUUUAUCGCCUAUAGGAUGGGCCCGCGUUGGAUUAGCUAGUUGGUGGGGUAAAGGCCUACCAAGGCGACGAUCCAUAGCUGGUCUGAGAGGAUGAUCAGCCACACUGGGACUGAGACACGGCCCAGACUCCUACGGGAGGCAGCAGUGGGGAAUAUUGGACAAUGGGGCAACCCUGAUCCAGCCAUGCCGCGUGAGUGAUGAAGGCCCUAGGGUUGUAAAGCUCUUUCAGCGAGGAUGGAUAAUGACGUUACUCGCAGAAGAAGCCCCGGCUAACUUCGUGCCAGCAGCCGCGGUAAUACGAAGGGGGCUAGCGUUGUUCGGAAUCACUGGGCGUAAAGCGCACGUAGGCGGACUUUUAAGUCAGGGGUGAAAUCCCGGGGCUCAACCCCGGAACUGCCUUUGAUACUAGAAGUCUUGAGUCCGAGAGAGGUGAGUGGAAUUCCGAGUGUAGAGGUGAAAUUCGUAGAUAUUCGGAAGAACACCAGUGGCGAAGGCGGCU
rnacentral:rRNA from 1 species